AUGAAAACAUACAGGGAUCUCAUCGGAUUUGUUCGUGAAAAAUGGAGUUGCGGUGGUCUUGUUUCGUCGGAGGGUCAAUGCAGUGGCCGUUCUCGCGGCUGUGUGGCGGAGAGACGAGAUGCAGUGCGGAUUCGUUACUGGUGUGUCGUUGCGCAUCAUUGGAGAGGGUGUCGACACUCUUUGUUCGUAAGUCAUGUGUUCGGUGACAGAACCACGAUGACUGCAUAUGGAGGACGGUGGUGGUCCGAUUUUGAAUCCGCAGUGGCAAGAAUGGUGUUGUUUUGUUGUUGUCCAUAG